UUUCCGGUUGAUCCUGCCGGAGGUUACUGCUAUCGAGGUUCGACUAAGCCAUGCGAGUCGAAUGUAGCAAUACAUGGCGAACUGCUCAGUAACACGUGGACAACCUGCCCUUAGGUUGGGUAUAAACCCGGGAAACUGGGUAUAAUACCCGAUAGGUCUCGAUUGCUGGAAUGCAUCGAGAUUUAAAGCUCCGGCGCCUAAGGAUGGGUCUGCGGCCUAUCAGGUAGUAGUGGGUGUAGCGUACUUACUAGCCUACGACGGGUACGGGUUGUGAGAGCAAGAGCCCGGAGAUGGAUUCUGAGACACGAAUCCAGGCCCUACGGGGUGCAGCAGGCGCGAAAACUUUACAAUGCUGGCAACAGCGAUAAGGGAACCUCGAGUGCCAGGUUACAAAUCUGGCUGUCGAGAUGCCUAAAAAGCAUUUCAUAGCAAGGGCCGGGCAAGACCGGUGCCAGCCGCCGCGGUAACACCGGCGGCUCGAGUGGUAACCGUUAUUAUUGGGUCAAAGGGUCUGUAGCCGGCCGGAUAAGUCUCUUGAGAAAUCUGGCAGCUUAACUGUCAGGCUUUCAGGAGAUACUGUCUGGCUCGAGGCCGGGAGAGGUGAGAGGUACUUCAGGGGUAGGGGUGAAAUCUUGUAAUCCUUGAAGGACCACCAGUGGCGAAGGCGUCUCACCAGAACGGACCUGACGGCAAGGGACGAAAGCUAGGGGCACGAACCGGAUUAGAUACCCGGGUAGUCCUAGCCGUAAACGAUACUCGCUAGGUGUCGGCCACGGUGCGACCGUUGUCGGUGCCGUAGGGGAGCCGUGAAGCGAGCCACCUGGGAAGUACGGCCGCAAGGCUGAAACUUAAAGGAAUUGGCGGGGGAGCACCACAACGGGUGGAGCUUGCGGUUUAAUUGGAUUCACGCGGGA
rnacentral:rRNA from 1 species